rnacentral:rRNA from 1 species
UACGUAGGGGGCAAGCGUUGUUCGGAUUUACUGGGCGUAAAGGGCGCGCAGGCGGCCGCAUUUGUCAGGCGUGAAAGCCCCGGGCUUAACCUGGGAACUGCGUUUGAUACGGUGUGGCUAGAGUUCGGGAGAGGGAAGUGGAAUUUCAGGUGUAGCGGUGAAAUGCGUAGAUAUCUGAAGGAACAUCAGUGGCGAAAGCGGCUUCCUGGACCAGAACUGACGAUCAGGCACGAAAGCGUGGGGAGCAAACAGG